rnacentral:rRNA from 1 species
GUGGGGAAUAUUGGGCAAUGGGGGAAACCCUGACCCAGCGACGCCGCGUGAGGGAAGAAGGCCUUAGGGUCGUAAACCUCUGUUGUGUGGGAAGAAGAGCGUGACGGUACCACACGAGGAAGUCCCGGCUAACUACGUGCCAGCAGCCGCGGUAAUACGUAGGGGACGAGCGUUGUCCGGAUUUACUGGGCGUAAAGGGCGCGUAGGCGGUCAUUUAAGUCAGCUGUGAAAUGGUUUGGCUUAACCGGAUCAUGCGGUUGAAACUGGAUGACUGGAGUGCUGGAGAAGCAAGUGGAAUUCCCAGUGUAGCGGUGAAAUGCGUAGAUAUUGGGAAGAACACCGGUGGCGAAGGCGACUUGCUGGCCAGCAACUGACGCUGAGGCGCGAAAGCCAGGGGAGCAAACGGGAUUAGAUACCCGAGUAGUCC